AUUUAGAAACUGCCACACAUACAAAUAUAACUUUCCUUUUGAAAUACUCUAUCAAUGCCUCCACAAAUGCCUCUUUUGUGGAUUAUACAUCUGCACAUUUUAUAUAAAUACUUUUAAUAUUAAUGCGGAAAAUAUAUAAUUACUUUGAUAAUGAAAAGGGUAAACUAAAACUGAACAUAAACUAACUAAACUAACACUACAGGACUAAUAUUUUUAUAUUAGUCAAAAAAUGCGUUCUUUCUCAUUAUAUUUGCAUGGACCGUAAAUGAAUAUAAUACACAAAACUUGGCGCAAAAUAGCACAAAACUCUAAUGUCACAUUUGGAAGUAACUCGAAUAUUAAUUCCAAAUGUGUGAAGCACACUUAUGUAGAUACAUAAAAAAUGGAACGAAUAAGGCGGCUUAAAUGGUAACAUAAUUACCUGAACUACAUAUAUAUUGUUAACAUAAAAACAAUAUUACGGCGAAAACUAACACAUUUAAUUAAUAAAAAAAAAACAUAAAAAUGUAACUAUUUGGCAACGUUUGUAUUGCACAUUCACAACACAUCUUUGACACUAGCAUGAACUAACUAAGCGUACAACUUUUUACACUUUGAUGAUAGUUUUAGCACAAAACUCUACACCAGCAUUGGCACAUUUGGAAUUUAUCGAUCAAUAAAUUCCAAAUGUGGGAUGCUGAAACUAUACACCUAUAUGCGCUGAUAAUUUUUACUUGCUUUAUAAUAAUAAUAACACUGGCUGAUGAUAAUAAUAAUAUAUAUGAUAUAACUAUAUGGAGUUACUUUCUAGCGUGGUAACUUGAACUUUAUUUGGAACCGAACUACCUGAUACGAGGCAUUGAUCAGUAUUUCAAAAGGAAACGACAUACUAUAUAGUAUACAUAUAUAAUACACUGCCAACAGCAAAUUGAGGAUCUGAGGCGCGGCGGACAUCUCAAUUUGCAUUUUUCGAAUAAUAAUAUCAACAACUAAGACUGACUGCUAACCCCUAAUACUAACUCAACAGACUAGCCUAUGUAUACCGAUGUCUAUGUCUGUCCAUGUAGUAAUAAAGAGCCAAUAAAUGGCUAUAAAAUGCAA